rnacentral:rRNA from 1 species
CCCCUAGAUGUUCUGGGCCGCACGCGCGCUACACUGAACAGUUCAACAAGUCUUAACCUUGGCCGAUAGGUCAGGGUAAUCUUUGAACGCUGUUCGUGAUUGGGAUAGACCUUUGCAAUUAUGGGUCUUCAACGAGGAAUUCCUAGUAAACGCAAGUCAUCAGCUUGCAUUGAUUACGUCCCUGCCCUUUGUACACACCGCCCGUCGCACCUACCGAUUGAAUGGUCCGGUGAAAUCUCGGGACGGCGGCUUGGUCGCUUGCGUCCGACUGCUGAAACUUGAUUAAACCAUAUCAUUUAGAGGAAGGUGAAGUCGUAACA